rnacentral:rRNA from 1 species
GAUUAGAUACCCUGGUAGUCCACGCCGUAAACGAUGUCUACUUGGAGGUUGUGCCCUUGAGGCGUGGCUUCCGGAGCUAACGCGUUAAGUAGACCGCCUGGGGAGUACGGCCGCAAGGUUAAAACUCAAAUGAAUUGACGGGGGCCCGCACAAGCGGUGGAGCAUGUGGUUUAAUUCGAUGCAACGCGAAGAACCUUACCUGGUCUUGACAUCCACAGAACUUUCCAGAGAUGGAUUGGUGCCUUCGGGAACUGUGAGACAGGUGCUGCAUGGCUGUCGUCAGCUCGUGUUGUGAAAUGUUGGGUUAAGUCCCGCAACGAGCGCAACCCUUAUCCUUUGUUGCCAGCGAUUAGGUCGGGAACUCAAAGGAGACUGCCAGUGAUAAACUGGAGGAAGGUGGGGAUGACGUCAAGUCAUCAUGGCCCUUACGACCAGGGCUACACACGUGCUACAAUGGCGCAUACAAAGAGAAGCGACCUCGCGAGAGCAAGCGGACCUCAUAAAGUGCGUCGUAGUCCGGAUUGGAGUCUGCAACUCGACUCCAUGAAGUCGGAAUCGCUAGUAAUCGUGGAUCAGAAUGCCACGGUGAAUACGUUCCCGGGCCUUGUACACACCGCCCGUCACACCAUGGGAGUGGGUUGCAAAAGAAGUAGGUAGCUUAACCUUCGGGAGGGCGCUUACCACUUUGUGAUUCAUGACUGGGGUGAAGUCGUAACAAGGUAACCGUAGGGGAACCUGCGGUUGGAUCACCUCCUUA